rnacentral:rRNA from 1 species
GCUGAACGCUGGCGGCGUGCCUAAUACAUGCAAGUCGAGCGAAUGGAUUAAGAGCUUGCUCUUAUGAAGUUAGCGGCGGACGGGUGAGUAACACGCGGGUAACCUGCCCAUAAGACUGGGAUAACUCCGGGAAACCGGGGCUAACACCGGAUAACAUUUUGAACCGCAUGGCUCGAAAUUGAAAGGCGGCUUGGGCUGUCACUUAUGGAUGGACCCGCGUCGCAUUAGCUAGUUGGUGAGGUAACGGCUCACCAAGGCAACGAUGCGUAGCCGACCUGCGAGGGUGUGCGGCCACAAGUGGACUGAGACACGGCCCAGACUCCUACGGGAUGUAGCAGGAGGGAAUCAUCCGCAAUGGACGAAAGUCUGACGGAGCAACGCCGCGUGAGUGAUGAGGGCUUUCGGGUCGCAAAACUCUGUUGUUAGGGAAGAACAAGUGCUAGUUGAAUAAGCUGGCACCUUGACGGUACCUAACCAGAAAGCCACGGCUAACUAUGUUCCAGCCGCCGCCGUAA